GGGGGGGGGGGGGGGGGGGGCUGAGACAGGCAAGGCGAGCGAACAGACGAGGGGCUUGCUCCUCUGACGUUAGCGGCGGACGGGUGAGUAACACGUGGAUAACCUACCUAUAAGACUGGGAUAACUUCGGGAAACCGGAGCUAAUACCGGAUAAUAUAUUGAACCGCAUGGUUCAAUAGUGAAAGACGGUUUUGCUGUCACUUAUAGAUGGAUCCGCGCCGCAUUAGCUAGUUGGUAAGGUAACGGCUUACCAAGGCGACGAUGCGUAGCCGACCUGAGAGGGUGAUCGGCCACACUGGAACUGAGACACGGUCCAGACUCCUACGGGAGGCAGCAGUAGGGAAUCUUCCGCAAUGGGCGAAAGCCUGACGGAGCAACGCCGCGUGAGUGAUGAAGGUCUUCGGAUCGUAAAACUCUGUUAUUAGGGAAGAACAAAUGUGUAAGUAACUAUGCACGUCUUGACGGUACCUAAUCAGAAAGCCACGGCUAACUACGUG
rnacentral:rRNA from 1 species